rnacentral:rRNA from 1 species
UACGGGGGGGGCAAGCGUUAUCCGGAAUUAUUGGGGGUAAAGCGUCCGUAGGUGGCUCUUCAAGUCUGCUGUCAAAGAGUGGGGCUUAACCCUGCAAAGGCAGUGGAAACUGAAAGGCUAGAGUGCGGUAGGGGUAGAGGGAAUUCCCGGUGUAGCGGUGAAAUGCGUAGAGAUCGGGAAGAACAUCGGUGGCGAAAGCGCUCUACUGGACCGCAACUGACACUCAGGGACGAAAGCUAGGGGAGCGAAUGGG